rnacentral:rRNA from 1 species
AUUGAACGCUGGCGGCAGGCCUAACACAUGCAAGUCGAACGAGUGGCGGACGGGUGAGUAAUGUCUGGGAAACUGCCUGAUGGAGGGGGAUAACUACUGGAAACGGUAGCUAAUACCGCAUACCAUCGGAUGUGCCCAGAUGGGAUUAGCUAGUAGGUGGGGUAACGGCUCACCAAGGCGACGAUCCCUAGCUGGUCUGAGCGGAUGACCAGCCCCACUGGAACUGAGACACGGUCCAGACUCCUACGGCAGGCAGCAGUGGGGAAUAUUGCACGAUGGGCGAAAACCUGAUGCAGCCAUGCCGCGUGUGUGAAGAAGGCCUUCGGGUUGUAAAGUACUGUCAGCGGGGAGGCGUUACCCGCAGAAGAAGCACCGGCUAACUCCGUGCCAGCAGCCGCGGUAAUUC